CGAUACCCGCCCCUCCUCUCUCAGAUUUAGCCACGCCCUUCAUUCGUUACUGUGGGGAUUUUCGGAACAGAGGUUGUGGCAGUUUCAGCAUCAAAUGCCUGGGGAAAAUGAACAAAAGGCAUCCCAUGAGAAAGGAAGAACAAGGCAGUCGACUUGUAGAUGGAAUCCUAUUAUAAAUGUCAGAGACCCUAAGGAAUCUGCUAAAGUUUAGCAUUGAACAGUGAGUUAUACCAGACCAAUGAAUAUAAGCUCUGUCAGCAGAAAUAAAGCAUUUCUGUAGCCUAGCAUUAAACAAAACAAUAUUUGGGAAAUU